rnacentral:rRNA from 1 species
UACUCCUACGGGAGGCAGCAGUGAGGAAUAUUCCACAAUGGGCGAAAGCCUGAUGGAGCAAUGCCGCGUGCAGGAUGAAGGCCUUCGGGUUGUAAACUGCUUUUAUAUGAGAAGACUAUGACGGUAACAUAGAUAGACCGUUCAC